rnacentral:tRNA from 1 species
AUCUAAUUAGUUUAAUAAAAAUUUAAAUUUGUGGAAUUUAAGAUAAUAAUAUAUUAUUAGAUA